AACGAACGCUGGCGGCAGGCUUAACACAUGCAAGUCGAACGCACCGCAAGGUGAGUGGCGCACGGGUGAGUAACGCGUGGGAAUGUACCGUUUAGUACGGAAUAGCUCCGGGAAACUGGAAUUAAUACCGUAUACGCCCUUCGGGGGAAAGAUUUAUCGCUAAACGAUCAGCCCGCGUGAGAUUAGGUAGUUGGUGGGGUAAUGGCCUACCAAGCCUACGAUCUCUAGCUGGUCUGAGAGGAUGAUCAGCCACACUGGAACUGAGACACGGUCCAGACUCCUACGGGAGGCAGCAGUGGGGAAUAUUGGACAAUGGGGGAAACCCUGAUCCAGCCAUGCCGCGUGAAUGAUGAAGGCCUUAGGGUUGAAAAGUUCUUUUACCGAUGAAGAUAAUGACGGUAGUCGGAGAAAAAGCCCCGGCUAACUUCGUGCCAGCCGCCGCCGUAA
rnacentral:rRNA from 1 species